UGUGUGCGUGUAUGUCUUUCUUUAAUUUGUAACAAAGCCUUAGAGACAGAUGCAAACAGUAAAUCCUCCUUGGCAACCCAGACCUCACUGCUAUGAGAUUUUGGUACAUGUAAGAAGGAAUAUG
ensembl:snoRNA